rnacentral:rRNA from 1 species
UACAGAGGGUGCGAGCGUUAAUCGGAAUUACUGGGCGUAAAGCGCGCGUAGGCGGCUUUGCAAGUCGGGUGUGAAAUCCCCAGGCUUAACCUGGGAACUGCAUUCGAGACUGCAUUGCUAGAGUAUGGGAGAGGAAAGUGGAAUUCCUGGUGUAGCGGUGAAAUGCGCAGAUAUCAGGAAGAACACCAAUGGCGAAAGCAGCUUUCUGGGACGGUACUGACGCUGAGACGCGAAAGCGUGGGGAGCGAACAGG